AAACUGCGCGUCGGAAUGUGAACUGCAGGACAUAUGAUCAUCGACACUUUGAACGCACAUUGCGGGCACUGGCUCGUCCACUGCCCAUGUCUGGCUCAGGGUCGGUUUUGCAUCCCUCCCGAGAGAUUUCUCUCGGGCACUGGGCCCUCGCCUCUCCUCUCGGGGAGGCGUGGCCUCAAGUUUCGAGCGCGUCCAGCUGGUGGGCGGCCACGACUCUUGGGAUUCUCUCCCGGGUCCGGUCCCCCUCCGACGUGUUGGUCGUGCGCCUGGCGGCCCCUUCUCCGGCCGCUGGCCCCCCCUUUGCUUUUCGACCUGAGAGCAGGCAAGGUGACCCGCCAAAUUUAAGCAUAUUAAUAAGCGGAGGAAAAGAAAACAACCGUGAUGCCCUUAGUAAUGGCGAAUGAAACGGGCAGAGCCCAGCACCGAACCGCCGGCCUUCGGUCGCGUGGAAUGUGGUGUUCGGGGGAGCCUCCUCGCAGCGAGACGGCCGGUCCAAGUCCACCUUGACUGGGGCCACGGCC
rnacentral:rRNA from 1 species